GAGACAGCAGUACCGCGGUAACACGUUGGGUGCGAGCGUUAAUCGGAAUUACUGGGCGUAAAGCGUGCGCAGGCGGUUGUGUAAGACAGGUGUGAAAUCCCCGGGCUUAACCUGGGAACUGCGCUUGUGACUGCACAGCUAGAGUAUGGCAGAGGGGGGUGGAAUUCCACGUGUAGCAGUGAAAUGCGUAGAGAUGUGGAGGAACACCGAUGGCGAAGGCAGCCCCCUGGGCCAAUACUGACGCUCAUGCACGAAGGCGUGGGGAGCAAACAGGAUUAGAUACCCCCGUAGUCCCUGUCUCUUAUACA
rnacentral:rRNA from 1 species